UACAGAGGUCUCAAGCGUUGUUCGGAUUCAUUGGGCGUAAAGGGUGCGUAGGCGGCGCGGUAAGUCGGGUGUGAAAUCUUGGAGCUUAACUCCGAAACUGCAUUCGAUACUGCCGUGCUUGAGGACUGGAGAGGAGACUGGAAUUUACGGUGUAGCGGUGAAAUGCGUAGAUAUCUGGAGGAACACCGGUGGCGAAGGCGGCAUCCUGGACCGGCAUUGGACGCUGAGG
rnacentral:rRNA from 1 species